UGAAUCUUCAAGGUACACUCUUUAAAGCACGUAUAUGACUGGAAAUGGAUCUUUCCAAUGUCAGUCUUCAGAAGCAAGGAGGCACAAUUCAUGAGAAAGUGGCAGGAGCAGCUCACAGCUGUGGAUGGAGGAAUUUGCUCACAUCUAGGC